rnacentral:misc_RNA from 1 species
GCCAGACCCGUUUAACUCGGCGAAAAAAAACAAAAAUCCUACUCAUUGGCAACCAAAGGGCAAAGUGGGAGUAUAUUGAGAGACUUUAUAAAGUGGAUGGUUUUGGUGGCAGAGCAAGAAGCACCAAACUUACUGAGAAGCACAUAAAUCCAACUUCAUAUGACAAAAUGAAGGUCAAAUUUGCAGCCCAAGUUUUUAGCCGGCAAGUGGCUACAUCAC